AUUGAACGCUGGCGGCAGGCCUAACACAUACAAGUCGAACGGUAACAGGAAGAAGCUUGCUUCUUUGCUGACGAGUGGCGGACGGGUGAGUAAUGUCUGGGAAACUGCCUGAUGGAGGGGGAUAACUACUGGAAACGGUAGCUAAUACCGCAUAACGUCGCAAGACCAAAAAGGGGGACCUUCGGGCCUCUUGCCAUCGGAUGUGCCCAGAUGGGAUUAGCUAGUAGGUGGGGUAACGGCUCACCUAGGCGACGAUCCCUAGCUGGUCUGAGAGGAUGACCAGCCACACUGGAACUGAGACACGGUCCAGACUCCUACGGGAGGCAGCAGUGGGGAAUAUUGCACAAUGGGCGCAAGCCUGAUGCAGCCAUGCCGCGUGUAUGAAGAAGGCCUUCGGGUUGUAAAGUACUUUCAGCGGGGAGGAAGGGAGUAAAGUUAAUACCUUUGCUCAUUGACGUUACCCGCAGAAGAAGCACCGGCUAACUCCGUG
rnacentral:rRNA from 1 species